CUUAGUUUGCGCCUGCGUGAGGAGAAACUUCAAGAGCUGAAACAAAAAUCACGGACCGGAAACUUUUAAGCGCAGAGACCAGGAACCAGGCAACAGGAUUCCAAGGGGUUAAUGAUCAAGCGCUGAAGAAGGCACAGUUUCUGGGCUGCAGUCUUUCCAGUCUUGGGUCUCUGUCCUCGUCUUCAUCAGAGUCAUCCUCAUCAUCCGAGUCAUCCAUUGAAUGACCUCCCAUGACAAGGAGAACUUCUUCUAGGUUUGGUUGUGGGCUCUGGGAGUUGAGUCUGUCCACAUGUUCAGCCUCUGUACAGCUGGGAGAGGCCUGCAGCAGACUGUCCUUCAGCAGGGUGUCAGCCAGGUAGUCCAGGCUGAGCAGAGAGAGACGGGACAAGCAACAGAAACUCCUCACCCUGUUGUACAGCCUCAAAGUUCUCCAGGAGGAAGGCCCAUGCUUUGGCAACCACCUCAGGACAGCCAUGAAUGUCCCCAAACUCCAGGAUUCCCAGGCAGUUUGUCUCAUCAAUCUGAUGCUGG